rnacentral:rRNA from 1 species
UGCUGGAGGUAUCAGAAGUGCGAAUGCUGACAUAAGUAACGAUAAAGCGGGUGAAAAGCCCGCUCGCCGGAAGACCAAGGGUUCCUGUCCAACGUUAAUCGGGGCAGGGUGAGUCGACCCCUAAGGCGAGGCCGAAAGGCGUAGUCGAUGGGAAACAGGUUAAUAUUCCUGUACUUGGUGUUACUGCGAAGGGGGGACGGAGAAGGCUAUGUUAGCCGGGCGACGGUUGUCCCGGUUUAAGCAUGUAGGCUGGUUAUCCAGGCAAAUCCGGAUAAUCAAGGCUGAGGUGUGAUGACGAGGCACUACGGUGCUGAAGUAACAAAUGCCCUGCUUCCAGGAAAAGCCUCUAAGCAUCAGGUAACAUCAAAUCGUACCCCAAACCGACACAGGUGGUCAGGUAGAGAAUACCAAGGCGCUUGAGAGAACUCGGGUGAAGGAACUAGGCAAAAUGGUGCCGUAACUUCGGGAGAAGGCACGCUGGUGUGUAGGUGAAGUCCCUGCGGAUGGAGCUGAGACCAGUCGAAGAUACCAGCUGGCUGCAACUGUUUAUUAAAAACACAGCACUGUGCAAACACGAAAGUGGACGUAUACGGUGUGACGCCUGCCCGGUGCCGGAAGGUUAAUUGAUGGGGUUAUCCGUAAGGAGAAGCUCUUGAUCGAAGCCCCGGUAAACGGCGGCCGUAACUAUAACGGUCCUAAGGUAGCGAAAUUCCUUGUCGGGUAAGUUCCGACCUGCACGAAUGGCGUAAUGAUGGCCAGGCUGUCUCCACCCGAGACUCAGUGAAAUUGAACUCGCUGUGAAGAUGCAGUGUACCCGCGGCAAGACGGAAAGACCCCGUGAACCUUUACUAUAGCUUGACACUGAACAUUGAGCCUUGAUGUGUAGGAUAGGUGGGAGGCUUUGAAGCGUGGACGCCAGUCUGCGUGGAGCCAACCUUGAAAUACCACCCUUUAAUGUUUGAUGUUCUAACGUUGGCCCCUUACCGGGGUUGCGGACAGUGUCUGGUGGGUAGUUUGACUGGGGCGGUCUCCUCCCAAAGCGUAACGGAGGAGCACGAAGGUUAGCUAAUCCUGGUCGGACAUCAGGAGGUUAGUGCAAUGGCAUAAGCUAGCUUGACUGCGAGCGUGACGGCGCGAGCAGGUGCGAAAGCAGGUCAUAGUGAUCCGGUGGUUCUGAAUGGAAGGGCCAUCGCUCAACGGAUAAAAGGUACUCCGGGGAUAACAGGCUGAUACCGCCCAAGAGUUCAUAUCGACGGCGGUGUUUGGCACCUCGAUGUCGGCUCAUCACAUCCUGGGGCUGAAGUAGGUCCCAAGGGUAUGGCUGUUCGCCAUUUAAAGUGGUACGCGAGCUGGGUUUAGAACGUCGUGAGACAGUUCGGUCCCUAUCUGCCGUGGGCGCUGGAGAAUUGAGGGGGGCUGCUCCUAGUACGAGAGGACCGGAGUGGACGCAUCACUGGUGUUCGGGUUGUCAUGCCAAUGGCACUGCCCGGUAGCUAAAUGCGGAAGAGAUAAGUGCUGAAAGCAUCUAAGCACGAAACUUGCCCCGAGAUGAGUUCUCCCUGAGACUUUAAGUCUCCUGAAGGAACGUUAAAGACGAUGACGUUGAUAGGCCGGGUGUGUAAGCGCAGCGAUGCGUUGAGCUAACCGGUACUAAUGAACCGUGAGGCUUAACCUU